rnacentral:rRNA from 1 species
UACGGAGGGUGCAAGCGUUAAUCGGAAUUACUGGGCGUAAAGCGUGCGCAGGCGGUUUGUUAAGUCCGUUGUGAAAUCCCCGAGCUCAACUUGGGAAUUGCAAUGGAUACUGGCAAGCUGGAGUAUGGUAGAGGAGAUUGGAAUUUACGGUGUAGCAGUGAAAUGCGUAGAUAUCGUAAGGAAGACCAGUGGCGAAGGCGAAUCUCUGGACAGUUACUGACACUGAGGCACGAAGGCCAGGGGAGCAAACGGG